GCCUGGAUUACUGGGGGCCACCAUCCUCCUCUCCCAGUUGUGUCCUGUGGGUUCAGACUGGGAGGGCGGCUGUCUGCACCCCCAACUCCUCCACAUACCCUUUCUGAGGCCCUGUUGCAGGUCCUUCUGGUUCUGCUGUGUGGGACACUGCCUCAGCAUGGCUUGAUGAGUGGUGCUAGGUCCGUGCCCAGGAUCCAAACCGGCGAAACCCUGGGCUGCAGAAGUGGAGCAUGCGAACUUAACCACUUGGCCACGGGGUUGGCCCUGUCUCCCACAUCUUGAUGUUCACUGCAGCUGCCUUUCAGCCAUGGAUAUGGAAGUGUGGCUGGUACCUGGAUGUGGCGGCUGGGACACCCACAUUACACGUGCAUGAGGCUCCGGAGGUGCAGAAUGGCAUUAGAGGUAGGAAGAGAAUAACUAAGAAAGGCUGAGGACUAAGGGUUAACUCUCCUCGACCUGCCCCAUCGAGGUGGAACUCCAAGGAGUCUAAGAAUUUUACGUGGGAAUCUGGCCUUCCAAGUUGUU
rnacentral:lncRNA from 1 species